rnacentral:rRNA from 1 species
UGAGGAAUAUUGGUCAAUGGGCGCAAGCCUGAACCAGCCAUGCCGCGUGCAGGAUGACUGCCCUAUGGGUUGUAAACUGCUUUUAUACGGGAAGAAACCCCUCCACGUGUGGAGGAUUGACGGUACCGUAAGAAUAAGGAUCGGCUAACUCCGUGCCAGCAGCCGCGGUAAUACGGAGGAUCCAAGCGUUAUCCGGAAUCAUUGGGUUUAAAGGGUCCGUAGGCGGGUCUGUAAGUCAGUGGUGAAAUCUCCCGGCUCAACCGGGAAACUGCCAUUGAUACUGCAGGUCUUGAAUGUUUGUGAAGUAACUAGAAUAUGUAGUGUAGCGGUGAAAUGCUUAGAUAUUACAUGGAAUACCGAUUGCGAAGGCAGGUUACUAACAAAUGAUUGACGCUGAUGGACGAAAGCGUGGGGAGCGAACAGG